UACAGAGGUCUCAAGCGUUGUUCGGAUUCAUUGGGCGUAAAGGGUGCGUAGGCGGCGCGGUAAGUCGGGUGUGAAAUCUCGGAGCUUAACUCCGAAACUGCAUUCGAUACUGCCGUGCUUGAGGACUGGAGAGGAGACUGGAAUUUACGGUGUAGCGGUGAAAUGCGUAGAUAUCGUAAGGAAGACCAGUGGCGAAGGCGGGUCUCUGGACAGUUCCUGACGCUGAGGCGACGAAGGCCAGGGGAGCAAACGGG
rnacentral:rRNA from 1 species